AACCAAGGUUUUCCUCGGCAGUUAACUGCAGCUGGUUUUUGAAUUUCUCGGCAGUUAACUGUCGAAGAGGCA
rnacentral:pre_miRNA from 1 species